GAUGAACGCUAGCGGGAGGCUUAACACAUGCAAGUCGAGGGGCAUCACGAGGUAGCAAUACUUUGGUGGCGACCGGCGCACGGGAGAGUAACACGUAUGCAACCUACCCUGUACAGGGGGAUAACCCGGAGAAACUCGGACUAAUAUCCCAUGAUGAUAUUGAGGGGCAUCCUUUAAUAUUUAAAGCUCAGGCGGUACGGGAUGGGCAUGCGGAACCUUAGCUAGUUGGCAGGGUAACGGACUACCAAGGCGAAGAUGUUUAGGGGACCUGAGACGGUUAUCCCCCACACUGGUACUGAGACACGGACCAGACUCCUACGGGAGGCAGCAGUGAGGAAUAUUGGUCAAUGGGCGCAAGCCUGAACCAGCCAUCCCGCGUGAAGGAAGAAGGCGCUAUGCGUUGUAAACUUCUUUUCCAGGGGGUGAAUAAUUCCGAUGUAUCGGGAGAUGACGGUACCCUGGGAAUAAGCAUCGGCUAACUCCGUGCCAGCAGCCGCGGUAA
rnacentral:rRNA from 1 species